GGGAGAACUCUUUACCAAUAUUUAUUUUAAUAUUGUUCAAGUCCUUCUUGAAUGGGGCCACACUUCCGUAGAGGGUGCCAGGCCCGUAGAACUUUUAUUUUUAUUAUUGGUGAGUUUCUCCUUAGAGUCGAGUUGCUUGAGAGUGCAGCUCUAAUUAGGUGGUAAACUCCAUCUAAGGCUAAAUAUAACCACGAGGCCGAUAGCUAACAAGUGCCGUGAGGGAAAGUUGAAAAGAACUUUGAAGAGAGAGUUCAAAAGUACGUGAAACCGUUUAGAAGUAAACCUGUUAUACUCCUAUAAUUAUACCAUAUGCAGAAAGAUUCAACAUGCUUUGCCGAAUACAACACUACAUUAAUUAUUUUUACAUAUAUGUAUAUAUAAUUUAUUAUAUAUGUGUAAUUGUAUAUUUGAGACGGUACAAUAUACUAAUUGUGGAAUUUUUCUUUUCCAAAGCGUUCUAUAAUUCAGUCAUAUUGUUCGCUCAAUUUUUGUAUUGUAAAGUUUGUAUCGGAGCUGUGCACUUCUUUCUGUAUAUUUGCGUUGCGACACGUUGUAUGUAUCGUUUUUCCUAUAUACAUACACACAUGUGUAGUAUGUAUAUUGGUGUUAUGGCCUACAAAGAUUAGACCGAGGAAUUUAAGUUGCAUUGCACACUUUUAUUACCAGGACUUGUAGUGUAAGUUGAUCCUAACGAUCAAUGCAACGUUAACAAUUCUAUAAAGUAAUGUAUCGCUCUUGCAUGUGAUAUCAUUUAUUUUCUGUCAGCAACGUAUUUAAUAAUAAGAGUAAUAACAGGACCCGUCUUGAAACACGGACCAGGGAGUCUAGCAUAUUUGCAAGUCAUCGAGUUUAAAUAAAACUCAUAGACACAAUUAACGUAAAAGGUGUACAGUUGCUCACGCCCAAACAUCACACAUCUCUGUGUGUGUGUAUGUAUGUGUGCGUGUGUUAAACUCUCACCAAGGGAAGAUGAGUAGUGGAUAUUUGAAAACUAUUUCGCACUCAUAGGGCGUUCCG
rnacentral:rRNA from 1 species